GAACAAAAAGAAGAAAAACAAAACAAAAA
rnacentral:sRNA from 1 species